ACGGGGUGGAGUAAUGUCUGGGAAACGUGCCUGAUGGAGGGGGGUAACUACUGGAAACGGUAGCUAAUACCGCAUAACGUCGCAAGACCAAAGAGGGGGACCGUUCGGGCCUCUUGCCAUCGGAUGUGCCCAGAUGGGAUUAGCUAGUAGGUGGGGUAACGGCUCACCUAGGCGACGAUCCCUAGCUGGUCUGAGAGGAUGGCCAGCCACACUGGAACUGAGACACGGUCCAG
rnacentral:rRNA from 1 species